GUUUUGAUUUCAGAGGCCGAAGAACCAGAAAUUUUGUCAAAUGAACUUGGUAAACCAUGAUGCACUUAAAUCGUCAAAACUUAACGAUUGCAUAUAAACUAAAUCCAUUUGUCCACGUGAGCUGGAUUCUUUGCUAACUAUAGGUUUUACAACAUGUCCCGUACUUGCAAAUUUUACGCUUCUUUAAUUGACACUCUUCAC
rnacentral:lncRNA from 1 species